rnacentral:misc_RNA from 1 species
GUAGGUUAUUGCCAGGGUUUUUAUUUUUAUACUUUAAACUUCGAUUUUAUUUUUAUGUUUUUUAAAUAUUGGUGUUUUUGAAUGUGUUGUUUAAAUAACAUAAAAAAUAAAAUAUAUAUUGACAUGUAUUAAACAAAGAUAUAUAUUAUUUUAUGUUGUAUAAAUAAAUUGGCAAAAUAGAGAUGGAAGAUAAAAAUAUGGUCAAAGUAAUAAGAGUC